rnacentral:lncRNA from 1 species
AAACAAGGCCUUCAGAAAAAAAAAAAUCAAUAUAAAAUAUUGGGUUAAUUGCAUACAAGUUUCUGCAAACAUAGUGAAUUGCAAAUAUAUUCUUAUAAAGUUUAACUUUCAUAAGUUAUCUCUACAAAAGUCCUAAUAUUUUCAGAUAUGUCUCUCUGGUUUGCUACCAUUAGAGAACCGUUAGAAAACUGUUUAUAUUUUCAAUUUUGCCAUCAUAAAUAUAUCCCUGCAAAAGUUAUAACAGUAUAAUAUAAGAGGGUAAAAAUGUCAAAAAUUAAUCCGAAUAAAGUAUUUAACCUAUAGUUAGCUAAAUUUUUCUAACGGAUUCUAACGGCAGGAACAUAUAUGAAAAUAUUAGGACUUUUGCAGGAAUAGCUUAUAAAAGUUGAAUUUUACAGAAAUAUAUUUGCAAUUUAUUAUGUUUGCGGAGACUUGUAUGCAAUUAAUCCUAAAAUAUUAAGUAAUGAAAAAGUAGGCGCGAUAGUUUUUACUGACCAAUAUAUAUGAACUGCUUUAAAAAAAUUCUUAGUUAUCUUUCACCUAAAAUUGUUCACAUGUCAGUUAAUCCAAUUUGUGCCCCGAAAAGAGACUAAUUAAACCAACUAAUUUUUUCUCGAAUUAAGUUCAUUACUCUCACGUAUUUAAUUUGCCCAUGCAAUUACUAUAAUAUUAGGAUCGAUCGAUUCGUGCCUCCAAAUUGCUCUCUAAUUAGUCACCAAAGUUAAUUUACUAAUGCUAAGUCGAUCUAGUACCAAACCAACACAUCAACGCAUUAAAAUUCGCGACUCUAACCAACCGUUCCUAAAGCAAAUGGUAAAGAGCUUGGUGGUUGGUACCCGAGACCCAAAUUCGAAUCCUAGUUAAUUCACAUUUCUAGCUAAGUUUAUUUCUAAAUAAAAUAAAUGAAGUGGAUAACGUGCUACCUAUCUCUAAAAAAAAAAAAAAAAAAAAAAAAACCCCGCAUUGCUGACUAUGACUGCAAUAAAAACUAUCAAAUCAAUUAUACUACAUACUAUACUCAUUGUUUGUUUGACAGGUUCGAAUUUUGAUGGGCUAAGCAGUAAUGGUACUUUGUCACGAGCAUGUAAGCGUGGACUCUUUUUAUGCCGAUUCAGUUUUCAUGUUAGAUUCACCACACACAGAUCAGUAUCUCCGAUUUGAAAUUUAAAUUUUUUUCAUCAUUUUUUAUGAAAUUUUUAUGUUCAGUUGUUUAUUUUUAAACCAUUCGUUUCAUAAGUAAAUAAUGUUCGAAAAAUUAUAAAAUUUAGUUUUUAAAUAUUUUUAAUAAUAUAGAUCAAGUCUAACGAAAUCGAUCGUCGAUUUGAAAGCCGCAACAUUGACAAUAAUUUGAUAGCACAGAGGCCUCCGUACUACCGAUAGUAUACCGGUCUAACUAUCUAUCUAUCUAUA